rnacentral:lncRNA from 1 species
CGCUUCCGCUUAUGUUGUUGUUCCAAGUAAUUCGAUAUGAAGGCUAAAGUGUUUUAUUUGGAUUCAUUCCAACAAUUGGUAUCAGAGCCUCCUUCGUAUUGAAUCAUUUGGAAGUUCAUGAAAUCCAUGUUAUAAAGCUUCAUGAUUAAAUUAAGAUAGAAUUUUAAUUAUGAAAUUCUAGUACCAUAAUAUAGCAUGCUUUCAUGAAUGAUAUGUUGAUUAUGAACUUUAGUAUUUAGAUACCAUGUUAUCUCUAGAUGAAUUGAAAUAUUGAAAUUUGCAUAAUUUUGGCUGUUGAACAACAUGAUUCCUUGUUUAAGCCUUUU